GAUGGAAGAACGUAGCGAAAUGCGAUAAGUAAUGUGAAUUGCAGAAUUCAGUGAAUCAUCGAAUCUUUGAACGCACAUUGCGCCCCUUGGUAUUCCGAGGGGCAUGCCUGUUCGAGCGUCAUUAUAACCCCUCAAGCUCAGCUUGGUGUUGGGGCCUGCUGCACUGGCAGCCCUUAAAAUCAGUGGCGGCGCCAUCUGGCUCUAAGCGUAGUAAUUCUUCUCGCUAUGGAGUCCUGGUGGAUGCUUGCCAUCAACCCCCAAUUUUUCUAUGGUUGACCUCGGAUCAGGUAGGGAUACCCGCUGAACUUAAGCAUAUCAAUAAGCGGAGGA
rnacentral:misc_RNA from 1 species